AGUCGAACGCACUUCCGUCGAAUGAUUUCAAGGUGCUUGCACCGCGAAUGAAAAUGACAUGAAGUGAGUGGCGAACGGGUGAGUAACACGUGGGUAACCUGCCCAGAAGUAGGGGAUAACACCUGGAAACAGAUGCUAAUACCGUAUAAUAGAGAAAACCGCAUGGUUUUCCUUUGAAAGAUGGCUCUGCUAUCACUUCUGGAUGGACCCGCGGCGUAUUAGCUAGUUGGUGAGGUAACGGCUCACCAAGGCAGUGAUACGUAGCCGACCUGAGAGGGUAAUCGGCCACAUUGGGACUGAGACACGGCCCAGACUCCUACGGGAGGCAGCAGUAGGGAAUCUUCCACAAUGGACGAAAGUCUGAUGGAGCAACGCCGCGUGAGUGAAGAAGGGUUUCGGCUCGUAAAGCUCUGUUGUUAAAGAAGAACGUGGGUAAGAGUAACUGUUUACCCAGUGACGGUAUUUAACCAGAAAGCCACGGCUAACUACGUGCCAGCAGCCGCGGUAAUACGUAGGUGGCAAGCGUUAUCCGGAUUUAUUGGGCGUAAAGCGAGCGCAGGCGGUUUCUUAAGUCUAAUGUGAAAGCCUUCGGCUCAACCGAAGAAGUGCAUUGGAAACUGGGAAACUUGAGUGCAGAAGAGGAUAGUGGAACUCCAUGUG
rnacentral:rRNA from 1 species